CCUACGGGGGGCAGCAGUGAGGAAUAUUGGUCAAUGGGCGGGAGCCUGAACCAGCCAAGUCGCGUGAGGGAUGACGGCCCUAUGGGUUGUAAACCUCUUUUGCCGGGGAGCAAAGGGCCGCCCGUGUGCGGUUUGGAGAGUACCCGGAGAAAAAGCAUCGGCUAACUCCGUGCCAGCAGCCGCGGUAAUACGGAGUAUGCGAGCGUUUUCCGGAUUUAUUGGGUUUAAAGGGUGCGCAGGAGGAUUUUUAAGUCAGCGGUCAAAUCGUGGGGCUCAACCCCAUCCAGCCGUUGAAACUGGGGAUCUAGAGUGUGCGAGAGGUAUGCGGAAUGCGUGGUGUAGCGGUGAAAUGCAUAGAUAUCACGCAGAACCCCGAUUGCGAAGGCAGCAUACCGGUGCACAACUGACGCUCAGGCACGAAAGCGUGGGUAUCGAACAGGAUUAGAUACCCCAGUAGUC
rnacentral:rRNA from 1 species